UUCUAACAUCAAGGAGGCACAGCUGUCAGCCUUGCCCAUAGCCAAGGGGCUAUGGUGAUGGCUACUUAGGGAUAGAGUCCAUCUUCUCUAACGGUGUAGCUGGCUAGCAGUGGAUAGUGGUUAAAGCUGACUUUGUUCCAGUGGAUAGUCCCUCACCCAUGAUUACUUGAGCAGCACAAACUGAACUCACUGGGUUAUGAAAACAUAAAAAGACAUGAAGUUGGGAGAGGAUUUGAAGAGAAUGAUGAGCUAAAUUUUCAUCCUUGAUCAUCUUGGAAAGAACAUUAAAUUCUCCAUAAGGUCAAGACCAAGGCCCACCAACUCACUAUCUGAAAUGAACUAGGGUUGAAAGUCAGAAGUUUGGAUGGUGGUGCUCCUGGUUGAGGAAUGGAAGUGGCAAGAAAAUGAAGUGUGCAAGUGGUCACCAGUUGUUAAGAGAGACGAGAGGCCUCUGGCAUGGGAAAAUACACAGCUUAGUCCCGUGAUUACAAAGAAUUGCAUUCUGCCAAGGACCUGAAUGAGCCAUGAACUUGAUUCUCCCCAAAAGCUUCAGCAGGUGUGAUCUGACCAGAAAUGAAGCAUGGCCCAAUGCCAUCUGCAAAAUUCCUAUCUUUCUCAUAGAGUCUGUAGAGGGUGAAGCUAAUGGGACUAAAAUACUCUCCAGAGAAACUGAACCAAGAUCUUUAUAUGAGCCAGGCUGAGGAGACAAAGUCUGGGAUUUGUAGUUAUCAAGUGGUAAUUGGAGAAGAGGACACAUGAAGAGGAAUCAGAUGCAAUGAAAGGGAACAGCGGAGCUGAUAUAUAACAAAGUACACUGGACCUGGUUUCUGCAUUCCAGUAUGCAUAGGAUUCAGAACACUAAAGAAGGACAUGGGAACCAGGAGGAUGGCUCAGCUCAUGACCAUGAGUGAUGUGCAAGUCCAAUGAUCCAAGUUUAGUUCCUGGAACUCACAGGAGAAAAAGAUCAUGGAGCUGCAGUCCUGAAAGUGGAGAUGACGUCAUGACUAGUAUGUCCAACUCUAAUCUGUAUCCUUAGCAUCCAUGAGGCAACAGAGCAAAACACUGCGAAGGGUAAUGUGAAAAUAAUGCAGAUAACCACUCUAAAGUUCAGAGUACCCAACCUCAACAACUGCAUCUUCCUGCGCUAGCCAUGACCUUUCAUCCCAUUUCCUGUCUCAUUUUAUGGCAGCCCAAGACAGAGGCUCAGCUACUGAGCCGUCCUUUCCCCUGACUUGGCCUUCAAUUACGUUACGUGCUUUUCUCAUAGGCCAGAACUGUCCCAUCCCAUAUCCUGAGCUUUGUUUCCAAAAUUCAAGCCAAUGAUCCAAGCCAGGGUUUUCUGCUGCUGUGAGAUAACUUAAGUAUUUAAGUAUUGUUGUAAUCUUUAAUAAAUGAAUAAAUGCAACUUGUGCUGAUAAGGAAACUGAGUGCAGAGAUAAUACAAACAGCCCAAGGGAAAACGCUGACAAGUGGCAGAGACAGGAUCCAACCUCAGAAUCUCUGCACAGCGAAACUGGCACUCUCCGGCAAAGGUCUUGAACCUGUGUAUACAGAGAAUUAGUUGCGCAUGGCCGCACAGACAGCGAAGCAGUGUCAAGAUUCGAUUACUGAUAGCUGACUGAAAGAUAUGACUUUGAAGGAGGCAUUUAUUCCUGGAAUCCAUGGAUAGAACUGGAAAUUUAGAUUGAUGGGAAUUUUUGUUACACUUAACUUGCUGAUAUCACAAAAGGUGUGGAGAACGGAUGGAACAAUGCUAAGCUACUUUCUGACUCUACUCUGAAAUAGUCACGUGUGGAAGCCCUGGUGCCCAGCUGCUGAGACGUGAGAAAACCAGGAGAACAGUGACCCCAACACUGGUAAACAAGAACAAAAGGAUCUACUUUUAAGUUGAACAAACAUUAUCGAAAAAGAAGAAGAAAAGAAAAAGAAGGAGGAGGAGGAGGAGAGGGAGAAGAAGGACAGGAGGAGGAGGAGAAGGAGGAGAAGGAGGAGGAGGAGACCAAAGCAUUAAAUAAGCUAUACUAUAAAUGAGAGAAGAUACUGAAUAUGAGUAAUCUAAGAACGUCUGUGCUCCUGGUGUACAC
rnacentral:lncRNA from 1 species